CCAAUUGGCAAUAAGUGGAGUGG
rnacentral:siRNA from 1 species